rnacentral:tRNA from 1 species
UCCUCGGUAGCUCAACGGUAGAGCAUCCGGCUGUUAACCGGAGGGUUGCAGGUUCAAAUCCUGCCCGAGGAG